UAAUACGUACUGUGCGAACGUUAUUCGGAAUCACUGGGCUUAAAGGGUGUGUAGGCGGCUUGAUAAGUAGGGUGUGAAAGGCUUCGGCUCAACCGGAGCAUUGCGCUCUAGACUGUCGGGCUCGAGUAAGACAGGGGUGUGCGGAACUUCCAGUGGAGCGGUGAAAUGUGUUGAUAUUGGAAGGAACGCCGGUAGCGAAAGCGGCACACUGGGUCUUGUCUGACGCUGAGACACGAAAGCCAGGGGAGCGAACGGGAUUAGAUACCCCGGUAGUCCUGGCUGUAAACGAUGAGCACUAGACGGGAGGGGCCCCAAAGCCUUUCCGGUCGCAGCGAAAGCAUGAAGUGCUCCGCCUGGGGAGUAUGGUCGCAAGGCUG
rnacentral:rRNA from 1 species